rnacentral:rRNA from 1 species
AUACGGAGGGUGCAAGCGUUGUUCGGAAUUAUUGGGCGUAAAGAGCAUGUAGGCGGACUAUUAAGUCUGGUGUGAAAGCCCGGGGCUCAACCCCGGAAGUGCAUUGGAUACUGGUAGUCUUGAGUAUGGGAGAGGAAAGUGGAAUUCCGAGUGUAGGAGUGAAAUCCGUAGAUAUUCGGAGGAACACCAGUGGCGAAGGCGGCUUUCUGGACCAAUACUGACGCUGAGAUGCGAAAGCGUGGGGAGCGAACAGGAUUAGAUACCCCAGUAGUCC